GUGUCUCCACAGGCAUCGCCUGCUCAUGUCCACAAUGUAAGUUACAAUCAAUUUACAAGAAAAAAAAUUUUGAUUGUUAUUUUUAAUUUUUUAAUUCUAUUAUGAUAAUGUAACUGUAAUUAUGUAGGAAACACCUCAAGCAUCGGCAGCUGUGUCAUCACAGGCAUCAACGUGUAACAUCAAUGAUGCUCCUGAACAUUAUAUCUAUGUUAGUGCUGGCACCCCUGAUGUUUUUUAUGGGAUCUCUGCUACUUCAAGGGAUGAAGUCAUCCCAGCAGUCAGUGAUGAUCAUGAUGUAAACAUGGAUGACACUGUUGAACUCAGUCAACACAAUAAUACUCAACAGACAACUGCAGAACAAGUUGUAAGUAUAAUUUGACUCUUAAUGACAUAAUUACCUUGUUUAUAAUUCAACAUGCCAGCAGCUAAGAACUAUGCUUGAACUUACCUUCAG